GCGCGAGGUGUGCAGUGCGGUUUCGCAAGUGCAGCGUGCGCAAAAGCGCGCUUUCGGUUUGCACAGUCACAGCAACGUGAACGUCAGCCUGCGCAAUGCAAUAACACUGGAGGGCACCUGAGAAAUCCUCACCGGAGAGCUCUGGACACCGUCUGCCGCCGCCGUAUCUCCAAAUUCAAACUACGUGCCAAAACAUGCACACUGGCGUGGUCAUCCUGCACAGCAUCUUGUACGAAGCGAUCCAGAGUGAUCUGCUUUUGGAUGACAGACAGGACCAGCCGGCAGCUGACUACCGUCGACAACACUUUGCGAGGCUGUUGCGAGGUCAAAUGAAAACUGACGCUUGCCAUUUAAAUCUCUUCCCUACGUCUGAAAUGUACAACGACAAGCAUAUGGUGCAAUUCCUGGAUCAUGCUUAUGAUGUGCUGGACACUAAGGAGAAGGCCAUUACAUAAGGAAGCACUUAACGCAACAAGUACACAACAUAAUGCCCUACAGAGCUGAAUGCCUGACUGGUACUAAGGCAAUAUACAAGCUUCUGAGUUGCCGAGGGUUUCCUUGACAAGACUAGCCUCGCCAGCCCGCGCUUCACUGACGACAUUGUUUGCUCGAAGCUCUACACUGCCAUUAAGGGUUGGCUGACGAUGCGAAUGACCUACAUCGGAUGGGAGCGAUGUCGUCGCGUUGGCAUGCGAUGAACGUGUGGUGGUGCCAAAUGAUCACAUUGAAGAUAGUGAUACCUACGUUUCUUAAGCAAACAAGUAAAGAUUCAAUAAUGGGAA